rnacentral:rRNA from 1 species
AGAGCGAACGCUGGCGGCGUGCUUAACACAUGCAAGUCGAACGCGCAGCAGUUUGUAGCAAUACAGAUUGUGGGCGCGUGGCGAACGGGUGCGUAACACGUGGAUAACCUUCCUUCAGGUGGGGAAUAACCCAGUGAAAAUUGGGCUAAUACCGCAUAACAUGACGAUGCCACAUGGUGUUGUCUUCAAAGGCGCAAGUCGCCAGAAGAGGGAUCCGCGGCCGAUUAGCUAGUUGGCGAGGUAAUGGCUCACCAAGGCAAUGAUCGGUAGCCGGACUGAGAGGUUGGCCGGCCACACUGGAACUGAGACACGGUCCAGACUCCUACGGGAGGCAGCAGUGGGGAAUCUUGCACAAUGGACGAAAGUCUGAUGCAGCAACGCCGCGUGGGGAUGAAGCUUUCGGAGUGUAAACCCUUUCGACCCGGAAGAAAGCCCGCAAGGGUUUGACGGUACGGGUAUAAGAAGCCCGGCUAACUACGUGCCAGCAGCCG